GAUGAACGCUGGCGGCGUGCCUAAUACAUGCAAGUCGAGCGAACAGACGAGGAGCUUGCUCCUCUGACGUUAGCGGCGGACGGGUGAGUAACACGUGGAUAACCUACCUAUAAGACUGGGAUAACUUCGGGAAACCGGAGAUAAUACAGGAUAAUAUAUUGAACCGCAUGGUUCAAUAGUGAAAGACGGUUUUGCUGUCACUUAUAGAUGGAUCCGCGUCGCAUUAGCUAGUUGGUAAGGUAACGGCUUACCAAGGCAACGAUGCGUAGCUGACCUGAGAGGAUGAUCAGCCACACUGGAACUGAGACACGGUCCAGACUCCUACGGGAGGCAGCAGUAGGGAAUCUUCCGCAAUGGGCGAAAGCUUGACGGAGCAACGCCGCGUGAGUGAUGAAGGUCUUCGGAUCGUAAAACUCUGUUAUUAGGGAAGAACAGAUGUGUAAGUAACUAUGCACGUCUUGACGGUACCUAAUCAAAAAGCCACGGCUAACUACGUG
rnacentral:rRNA from 1 species